UACGAAGGGGGCUAGCGUUGCUCGGAUUUACUGGGCGUAAAGGGCGCGUAGGCGGAUGACCAAGUUGGGGGUGAAAGCCCGGGGCUCAACCUCGGAAUUGCCUUCAAAACUGGUCGUCUUGAGUAUGAGAGAGGUGUGUGGAACUCCGAGUGUAGAGGUGAAAUUCGUAGAUAUUCGGAAGAACACCAGUGGCGAAGGCGACACACUGGCUCAUUACUGACGCUGAGGCGCGAAAGCGUGGGGAGCAAACAGG
rnacentral:rRNA from 1 species